UACGUAGGGAGCGAGCGUUAUCCGGAUUUACUGGGUGUAAAGGGUGCGUAGGCGGUUUGUUAAGUCAGAAGUGAAAUUUUGGGGCUCAACCUCAGAGCUGCUUCUGAAACUGAUGAACUAGAGUGUGGAAGAGGAAAGUGGAAUUCCGAGUGUAGCGGUGAAAUGCGUAGAGAUUCGGAGGAACACCAGUAGCGAAGGCGGCUUUCUGGACCAUAACUGACGCUGAGGCACGAAAGCGUGGGGAGCAAACAGG
rnacentral:rRNA from 1 species